rnacentral:rRNA from 1 species
GACAGAGGGUGCAAACGUUGCUCGGAAUCACUGGGCUUAAAGGGCGCGUAGGCGGCAUUUCAAGUCCGGGGUGAAAGCCCCCAGCUUAACUGGGGAAGUGCCUUGGAUACUGGAGUGCUGGAGGGAGGUAGGGGUCGAGGGAACUUCUGGUGGAGUGGUGAAAUGCGUUGAUAUCAGAAGGAACGCCGGUGGCGAAAGCGCUCGACUGGACCUCUGCUGACGCUGAGGCGCGAAAGCUAGGGGAGCAAACGGG